GUGAAAGAUGGAAAGGAUUUGCUGAAACAAUAACUAGAACACAAAAAAGGGAGGUGUGAGGAGGUCGAUGAAACAAGUUAAUGAAAGACAAAGAUAUGGAAAUAUUGGAUGUGUUUUUAAAUUGUUUUUGCUUUUGCUUUUGUUUUGAUGUAUUGUGUCUUUUGUUUUUUCUUUUUCUUAUGUAUAGUAUUGAUUUGCAUUGUUUAUUUUUUUUCUUUUUUUCCUUCUGUAAUCUUUAAACCUUUAAUAAAUAUUAUUUUUAAAAAAAAAAAGAGAGAGAGACUAGGGCCCUGCGGGACCUGACAUCUUUCCGCAGGGCCUGCAAGACAGAGCUGUUCCACCAGGCCUUUGGUCAGGGCGCAGCCUGACUCCCUCCUCUGGCAAUCUGCACAGAAUUUUGCUUAACGGUUGCCAUCAAUUUGAUUUUAAUUAAUUUUUAUAAUGAAAUGUUUUUAGAAUGUUGGAUUAUUUGAUUGUUGUUAUCCGCCCUGAGCCCGGCUUCGGCUGGGGAGGGCGGGAUAUAAAUAAAAUUUAUUAUUAUUAUUAUUUAUUGUUGUUGUUUUGGAUACUGAAUGCAGCAAUGAGUUGUAGUGAAAGAUUUAGAAUUCCGUGAAAAUCCUGAGAAAUGAAUUUUAUCUAGGCAAGUUAUAUGGUCUUGCUGGGCUCACAUGAACUCUCCCAAUACCACCUGCCCUUCUGAAUAAGGGUCUCUUAAUGAACAUUGCAUUAACUCCAGUCUUUGUCCCUUGUGGCUCAGUGUGGAAAACAAGUGUAUUCUCACUGAGGUGGUAAAUCUGUGUCUAGACUGUGCCGCUUUAGACUGCAAGGAGGUGUGUGUGUGGGUGGCAGUUUGAUGAUGGAACAAUUUUCCAUAUAUAUAGGUUGUCUGAGAGAAAGGUAGGCUUCUUCCAAACAUAUUUUCAAUAUGCAGGGGGAUUUUUGUUUGGCUGUAUGUGUGUGAAUCUCCACCUGCGCUUUGCAUUUGCCACCUGAGUAAGAAUUAGACUCAUGUUUAGCCUUUCUUUCUCAAGUUCCGAUUUGCUCCUGCUAGUUGUUGUUCUUUGCAAUAAUUUCAAUUUUCUCUGAUUUUCUUACAUCUUGUGCUAUUAGAUGCUCUGCUGUUUGGGGCAUACAUCUCCCCCAGGGCUGGUCAUACAGUUGAAGUAUGCCGAAUCUGUUUUGUGGUCUUUUAAUAAGUGACAUUUUCGCUUGCCCAGCAACAGUUCCAUUGAGCUUGGAAAUCCUCCCCCCCCCCAUUUUGGGAACACAGUGUUUAUGUGUAGCUGGAGAGAAAUCUGGACUGAUCUUCUGGAGAGAAACAAGAAAACAAGGCUUGCAAUAUCUAAACAAAAACUUCCAUCAUUGGGAAGGGACUCUGUGUUCCUUAUGAAAGCAUAAACAUUUUGAGGAGCAUGAAAGUUUCUAAAAAAGCAAUGUGGGCAGCUAGGAGCUCUGCAGCUUUAUGUUAACGGUAUCAUUGGUCUGGCAGUGCAAAUACUUCUAGCCUGGAUCACAGAUAGAGCAGACAUAUGGUUGCUGUAUGGAGAAACUCUAAAAUGCAAUACUAGGCAAAUUCUGCUCAAAAAGAAAAGGUGAUUUGACAGAUUAAGCAUAAUCUAACACAGUUUCUGCAUGUCAUUCUGAAUCCAGAAUCCACAAAUGCUGAAUUCCUUAGGUUGAGUUAUGGGGUAAAUAAUUGUUUCCCAAAGGGGGUGAUGCUGCCCCCUGGGGGUGCUGGAACAAUCCGUGGGGCAGUAGUAGCCUUGAGUGCAAUUGGAGGGGCAUUGAAUAAAAACAAGAGGGAGGUGGAAGCAUAAAGAAGAGAAAAGAAGAAAUUUUUGAAAAACUGUGCAUACAUGUUUCAUCUGCUGUGCAAUGACACUUACCAUCAGGUCGGGUGCUGUUGUGAAACAGUGACAAUUCCUCUUCUGGAUCUGGCUGCCGUGCUGGAGGCGAGGGGUUUUCCUGGGCUUGGGUGAACCCUUUCCAGCUUCACCCAGGCCUGGGAAGUGGCCAACUGUAGGCGGGCUGUGGGUCCCUGGGACUAAUCGGACCGAGUCGGAAAGCUUCACUCUGGUCCGCCCCGUGGGUUUUUAAUCCCAGGGCCUAGUAGAUUUCCAGGGGACGCUGAGCAAUUAUUAUUAUUUUCUGAAAAGGGAGCAGUAGGCCAAAUAAGUUUAGGAACCUCUGGGACAAAUGAACAACAUUAAGGGCUCUCAGAUACAAGAGAACAAGACUGAAGGAUGUAAUAGUGGAACAUAUGAGUUAUCAAGACUUGGCACUAAUGGAGAAGUUAAUGCAUGAAGUCAGGGUGGUGAUGUGAAAGACUUGGACUCUGGAGAUUCGGAGUAGAUCAUACUUGGCUGGAUAGACAAAAAUAGGUUGGCCUGGUUAGGCAAAUAGCCUGGCUACUAUAGACUGUGGGCUGGCUGCUGUAGGCAAAUAAACCAGCUCCUAGGCAUGAAAUCUAUGUCCUACCUCCAGUGUCAAAGGCAGUAUACCUCUGAAUAUUAUUUGCUGGGAAUCACGAGUGGAGAGAACUGUCGCACUUAUUUCCAGCCUUUCAUGGUCAUCUGACUGGCCACUGCAAGCGCUGGAUUAGAUGGGCUUUUUGGUCUGGUCCAGGAGGGCUCUUACGUUUUGGUAUAAGGCAGCUUCCUGCGCUUUGACAAAUGUUUUUAAACGAAAGCUCUCACAGGCCAUUCUGCCUUUACAAGAGCUGCCUUUGCCCUCUCUUCCCACACCCUGCUGUAGCUACAGUUCUGCCUAUCCUUACACCCAGAGGUUUGCACUUCUAAGCUGCUGUGUGCGAAAUGUUCCCGUAAGGCCCUGCAGCAUAUGCAGACGCCACAGGCCUGGAGGACAGAGAAGAAUGGGGCGAUAUAACUGCUUCUUUUGAAGUAUAUAACACCAAAGGUCCAAGUGGACUUACAGCCACUCCUUGGCGCUGGAAAUGAGGCAAGGAUGGAGUGCUGUUGUUUCCUCUUGACAGUAAAGGUCACAGGACAUGAAUAGUUGCUUGUUUGCAACACAGCCAGCUAAUGGCUCCUCUAUGCAAAUUGUGUAGAGUCUCUGACAUUUCAAGAGGACCCCCACCUCUUCCUCACUGCUGACCGACAGUUGCCUUUUUAUAGCAUCCCACUUAAAGGUUAAGAUGAUGCCUCAGAGAGCAAAGUGGGAUGCAAUGCACAGUGCACAUCAGGGCAAAUGUGUGUCUGAUGAGGGGCUAUCAUCUUUAUGACAUUUCUUCCCACCCCGCCAGCCUUUCGUUCAUUCACUUGAUAUAUGGUGAGAACGGGGCAAAUAACACUUUUCUCUGUGCACUUUAUUUGCUUUCUUGUAUAUAAAAAGGAAAACUGCCUCUAAAUGUCAGAAUGGAUAGGUAUCUGGAAAGGAGACAUUUGCAUGUUUCUUGCAAGCGUGUGUGUUUUAAUUGUGAUAUCUGCUUUAAAAAAGAAAAAAAGGAGGGAACACUUUGGUGGGGAGGGAGGAGGGCUGCUUGACCACUUCCCUUCCACUGCUUGUUUCCUCCAAAUCACAGACAACUGGUGAUGUUUGUGUUCCUUCUGGAUCUGUUUACAAGGAAGUUAGUAUUCCCUUACUAACCCAGAAGGAAACGGCACAUACUCAGCAAGGUGGGCUCUGAUUGCCUUGAUUCUGCUCCCAAGCAUUUGAACACUGGUGCUCCAAAAGCUCACCCAGUUCCUAAGCACCCUUUCCUUUGUUCUGUGGAGAGGGAAAGGGACAGAGUGGUGUGUAUAACCCUGAUCGAUUCUCUGUUAAACCAUUGGUGAGGGUUCAAAGUGCAUGAGGUUGAGAGGAGCGGGACAAGCAGAACUGCACAUGACAGAGCUUUCUUCACUCCUCUUUUUGAAGUUAGAGAUGGAGAGAGAGUUGCAUAAAGUACUUUGGUGCCUGUUCUGUGUGACUUACCUGGAAUGGGGUAGGGGGGAACCUAAAAAAAGUGAUGGGAAGAGAAUAGAGCUCAUUGUUCUGCUGCUGGGUCAGGAUGCUGUCAGCGGCUCCCGGCUGGUUGCCCAGGAAAGUAUAAAGACAAGGGAAGGUUUCUUACCGUCAUUUUUUAUUUUGUAUUUACAGAGAGAGGCUAUGGAACCCAGCCUUGCCGUGGGCAGGGGAAACAGAGAGGAGGAAAAACCAGGGAAGGGAAGGUUGAUGGGAUCUUUGAUUG